GCAGUUGUUCCAUUAAUCGGAAACCUCGAAGGGACGGGCUGGGGCUGAGCUGUUGUUCCCUCCCCGGAGAGAACUCGGCGCGGCUGUGGAGCGGUUGUUCCCUCGCUGGCGGUGUCCUUUCAUCGCUGGAAACGCUGGAUCUCUGCUCUCCUGACUUAUUCAACCCCAGCGCUAUAAAUAAGGCAGCCGGAGGAGGGGCAGAAGGCUCCUGUGAGCCUGGGGUUUGAGCUCUUCUGGUCAGGAGCCAGAAGCUGAAUCAAGAU